rnacentral:snoRNA from 2 species
AACUCCAAUCAGGAUUUAAAAUGAUGUAAGAACUGGAGGAAAAGAAAAGUGGAUUUGGAGAUGUUUCAGGUUAUCUUGCUCCUUGUUGAUUUAAGAUCAAUCAUUCUACAGAG